UACGGAGGGGGCUAGCGUUGUUCGGAAUUACUGGGCGUAAAGCGCACGUAGGCGGCCCGGUAAGUCCGCUGUGAAAGUCCAGGGCUCAACCCUGGGAUGCCGGUGGAUACUGUCGGGCUCGAGUCCGGAAGAGGCGAGUGGAAUUCCUGGUGUAGCGGUGAAAUGCGCAGAUAUCAGGAGGAACACCAAUGGCGAAGGCAGCUCGCUGGGACGUGACUGACGCUGAGACGCGAAAGCGUGGGGAGCAAACAGG
rnacentral:rRNA from 1 species